AGAGACAGCAGUCGCCGCGGUAAUACGGAGGGUGCAAGCGUUACUCGGAAUCACUGGGCGUAAAGGACGCGUAGGCGGAUUAUCAAGUCUCUUGUGAAAUCUAACGGCUUAACCGUUAAACUGCUUGGGAAACUGAUAAUCUAGAGUAAGGGAGAGGCAGAUGGAAUUCUUGGUGUAGGGGUAAAAUCCGUAGAGAUCAAGAAGAAUACCCAUUGCGAAAGCGAUCUGCUGGAACUUAACUGACGCUAAUGCGUGAAAGCGUGGGGAGCAAACGGGAUUAGAUACCCCCGUAGUCCCUGUCUCUUAUAC
rnacentral:rRNA from 1 species